rnacentral:lncRNA from 1 species
UCGAUCAAUUGAAAGGGUUUUGCACGGUAGCGAACUCAAAACUGUAUCUCGCGGAAACCAAUUCCGGUAAAUAUUCGGGCAACGAUCAGGUAAAACAUCCUUUCCGGUUUACUGUUUCUGAUUUCUGUAAUCAGUUUCAUCUUUUAGGAAACAAAUUGAUAUAUGCCUCUGUUCUUAAACCUUUUAUUUUAAUUUCUUUCUUACUUUUUUCAUUAUAUGUGUUUGAUUAUAUUAACUGUUUUUCUGGAACUAGAAAUUGUUUAUUUUAAAGAAUCUGUUUUGCUUUGGGAAUUAGGAUUGUUAGAUAUAUUACCAUUUUCACAUUGUAUAUUGAUGAUUGAUGGAACUAAUGUUGAUUUUCUUUUUAACUAUUAUGGCUAUCCUGUUUACUUUAAUAGUUAAUGUGCAAGUUUAGCAAGAAGGUAAAGAUAGAAACUUUUUAUGAUGUAGAAGUAAUUUGGUUGAUUGAAGAUAGAAGAUGGGAAAAAGAACUUGUGGAAUACAAAGAAACUAAAUAUUGCAGUAUAAAAUCUGAAACUCGUAUUCGCCAGAAUGAUCCCGUAGCUGUCACCUAAAUCGAGGCGUUCCAAUUACACCUUUAUAUCAACCUUUUGUUUUGUUUUGUUUUUGUUUUUGUGGGUAAAACAAGAUGAUUUUAUUAGAAAUGGGAGGGAUUUCAAAAUGAUAAGUGGAGGAUGAGAUAUCCUCCUAAACUAGGAAACGGAAAAAAUUUAAAAAGCCCUCAUUAGUCAAUAGAGGGUUGCGCUCCAGUCUCUCUGCAAAUCUGGACACAAAAUCGUACCAAAAAUAUCCUGUAACUAAAGGAGGUGAGACCUUGGGAGGGCAUGAAAUGGUCGCUAGUUUUGGGAUUUCUAUUCUGCUUUAUUACUUUCCGGUUGUUGCAGAUUUCACCCCUCUCAACACUCUUCUAUUGUUAUGCUUCAUAACUUGCAAUUAAUGAACUUUUAAGUUUUCAACAUUCUUACCAGUGCUUAGCUUCACUUCUAUCGUGGGGACAGGAGAGUGGGUUACAUAGGUGGGGCGGGAUUGUUAACGGGUCCAUUGACCAUAUGCUCCCAUUGCCCUAUCUAGACAACAUCAACAAUGCAUAUAUUUCGAGAUGAAGGUUUAUUUAAUAUAUAUGUGGCUGAUCGAGAAUAAAUAUAUUCUAGUUAGGUCAAUAUUCAAUAAGCCUUGAAUGAAUGCAACACCUUUUAUCUCAAAUUAAUUGGGUAGGCUGAAAAUAAAUCACGUGUAAGCGUAAAAUAUAAGAGAAAGAAGAGACCUAAAAAGAUAUAAAAAAAAUUAAUUAGAAAUGAAUUAAAAAAAAUUAAGCAAUAGAAUAAAAAGAGAUAAGUAAGACAAUAACACACCCCUCUUAUUUAAAUUUUUUUUUGGGAGGGGGAGCAUAGAUAGAUAUAAAAGCUACAAUGCAAUUAAAUUAUAAAAAAGGCGGGAAAAGAAAGAAACAUAAAUCAAAACAAAUGAAAGGAGUAGUUUAGAAGAAGACACGGUGCGUCUAAUUGAGUUCUACCGACAACCUUAUGUUACUCAGCAUGUUUCUUUAAAUAA